rnacentral:rRNA from 1 species
UACGGGGGGAGCAAGCGUUGUUCGGAUUUACUGGCGUAAAGGGCGCGUAGGCGGCCAGCACAAGUCAGUUGUGAAAUCUCCGAGCUUAACUCGGAAAGGUCAACUGAUACUGUGCGGCUAGAGUGCGGAAGGGGCAACUGGAAUUCUUGGUGUGCGGUGAAAUGCGUAGAUAUCGUAAGGAAGACCAGUGGCGAAGGCGGGUCUCUGGACAGUUCCUGACGCUGAGGCACGAAGGUCAGGGGAGACAAACGGGG